GGGGCCAUAGCUCAGCUGGGAGAGCGCCACGCUGGCAGCGUGGAGGUCAGCGGUUCGAUCCCGCUUGGCUCCACCA
rnacentral:tRNA from 3 species